UACGUAGGUGGCAAGCGUUGUUCGGAAUUAUUGGGCGUAAAGAGCGCGCAGGCGGUCGUUCAAGUCGCGUGUGAAAGCCCCCGGCUCAACUGGGGAGGGUCACGCGAUACUGAUCGACUCGAAGGCAGGAGAGGGUAGUGGAAUUCCCGGUGUAGUGGUGAAAUGCGUAGAUAUCGGGAGGAACACCAGUGGCGAAGGCGACUACCUGGCCUGUUCUUGACGCUGAGGCGCGAAAGCUAGGGGAGCAAACGGG
rnacentral:rRNA from 1 species